AGAGUUUGAUCCUGGCUCAGGACGAACGCUGGCGGCGUGCUUAACACAUGCAAGUCGAGCGGUAAGGCCCUUCGGGGUACACGAGCGGCGAACGGGUGAGUAACACGUGGGUGAUCUGCCCUGCACUUCGGGAUAAGCCUGGGAAACUGGGUCUAAUACCGGAUAUGACCUCCGAUCGCAUGGUUGGUGGUGGAAAGAUUUAUCGGUGCAGGAUGGGCCCGCGGCCUAUCAGCUUGUUGGUGGGGUAAUGGCCUACCAAGGCGACGACGGGUAGCCGACCUGAGAGGGUGACCGGCCACACUGGGACUGAGACACGGCCCAGACUCCUACGGGAGGCAGCAGUGGGGAAUAUUGCACAAUGGGCGAAAGCCUGAUGCAGCGACGCCGCGUGAGGGACGACGGCCUUCGGGUUGUAAACCUCUUUCAGCAGGGACGAAGCGCAAGUGACGGUACCUGCAGAAGAAGCACCGGCUAACUACGUGCCAGCAGCCGCGGUAAUACGUAGGGUGCAAGCGUUGUCCGGAAUUACUGGGCGUAAAGAGUUCGUAGGCGGUUUGUCACGUCGUUUGUGAAAACUCACAGCUCAACUGUGAGCCUGCAGGCGAUACGGGCAGACUUGAGUACUGCAGGGGAGACUGGAAUUCCUGGUGUAGCGGUGAAAUGCGCAGAUAUCAGGAGGAACACCGGUGGCGAAGGCGGGUCUCUGGGCAGUAACUGACGCUGAGGAACGAAAGCGUGGGUAGCGAACAGGAUUAGAUACCCUGGUAGUCCACGCCGUAAACGGUGGGCGCUAGGUGUGGGUUCCUUCCACGGAAUCCGUGCCGUAGCUAACGCAUUAAGCGCCCCGCCUGGGGAGUACGGCCGCAAGGCUAAAACUCAAAGGAAUUGACGG
rnacentral:rRNA from 2 species